UGAGGAAUAUUGGACAAUGGGCGCAAGCCUGAUCCAGCCAUGCCGCGUGCAGGAUGAAGGCCUUCGGGUUGUAAACUGCUUUUGUACGGAACGAAAAGACUCCUUCUAAUAAAGGGGGUCCAUGACGGUACCGUAAGAAUAAGCACCGGCUAACUACGUGCCAGCAGCCGCGGUAAUACGUAGGGUGCGAGCGUUAAUCGGAAUUACUGGGCGUAAAGCGUGCGCAGGCGGUUAUAUAAGACAGAUGUGAAAUCCCCGGGCUCAACCUGGGAACUGCAUUUGUGACUGUAUAGAUAGAGUACGGCAGAGGGGGAUGGAAUUCUGCGUGUAGCAGUGAAAUGCGUAGAUAUGCGGAGGAACACCGAUGGCGAAGGCAAUCCCCUGGGCCUGUACUGACGCUCAUGCACGAAAGCGUGGGGAGCAAAAA
rnacentral:rRNA from 1 species